UGGGGAAUUUUGGACAAUGGGCGAAAGCCUGAUCCAGCAAUGCCGCGUGUGUGAAGAAGGCCUUCGGGUUGUAAAGCACUUUUGUCCGGAAAGAAAUCCUUGGCUCUAAUACAGUCGGGGGAUGACGGUACCGGAAGAAUAAGCACCGGCUAACUACGUGCCAGCAGCCGCGGUAAUACGUAGGGUGCAAGCGUUAAUCGGAAUUACUGGGCGUAAAGCGUGCGCAGGCGGUUUGCUAAGACCGAUGUGAAAUCCCCGGGCUCAACCUGGGAACUGCAUUGGUGACUGGCAGGCUAGAGUAUGGCAGAGGGGGGUAGAAUUCCACGUGUAGCAGUGAAAUGCGUAGAGAUGUGGAGGAAUACCGAUGGCGAAGGCAGCCCCCUGGGCCAAUACUGACGCUCAUGCACGAAAGCGUGGGGAGCAAACAGGAUUAGAUACCCUGGUAGUCCACGCCCUAAAACGAUGUCGACUAGUUGUUGGGGGAUUCAUUUCCUUAGUAACGUAGCUAACGCGUGAAGUUGACCGCCUGGGGAGUACGGUCGCAAGAUUAAAACUCAAAGGAAUUGA
rnacentral:rRNA from 1 species